rnacentral:lncRNA from 10 species
AAAAAUGUAUUUCUGGCAAAGAGUGCCCACUGUCCUCCAUCUGCAGGUUCUUCUUUCUUUCAAAAAAGCCAUUCUCCCUGCUGUAGCAGGAUUAAGGGCAGAGAUAUGGGUGAAAGUCUUGCAUUGAGAGCUGUAGGCAACUCAAUGUGAGACACACACAGGCCUUACCAAACAACAGGCUUUUUUUUUUUUUUUUUGAGACAAGGUCUCACUGUGUCACCCAGGUUAGUUGGAGUACAGUGGCAAGAUCAUGGCUCCCUGUCCCCUCAAAAUUCUGGGCUCAAGUGAUCUUCCUGUCUUAGCCUCCCAAGUAGCUGGGACUACAAGCAUGCACCAUCAUACCUAGAUUAAAAAAAAAUUUUUUUUUUGUAGAGGUGGGGUCUUGCUAUGUUGCCCAGGCUAGUCUGGAACUCCUGAGCUCAAGUGAUCCUCCCUCCUUGGCCUCACAGAGUAUUGGGAUUAUAGGUGUGAGCCACCACACUGGGGCAAACAACAGGCAGUUUUCACUCUAUUCUGGAAGAGACACCUCCUCAACUUUUGUGCUAUUAAGAGUGAAGACACCUAAAGCCAAAGAAGAAUGCUGGAUGGAAGGGUGAUGUGGCUGCAACGCUGAUCACCCCAUUGAUGGCCAGGGUAGAUUCUGCCCAUCUGGGUAGCAUCCUAUCCAAGUCACUGCUGCACAUGCCUCCUUCCUUGAACGGCCCACUGGCGGAGCAGGCUGCCUUCCCAGACAGAGGAGCACAUUUCUUCAGUCCAGGGUGCGUAAGUGUCUGUGCCUCUUGCUAGAACAUUCUAGUAAACUCUAGAGGCAACUGUGUGGAAGAGUGUAGU